GGAGGGGUGGCUCAGUGGUUAAGAGCACUGACUGUUCUUCCAGAGGACCUGGGUUUAAUUUCCAGCCCCCACU
rnacentral:tRNA from 1 species